rnacentral:rRNA from 1 species
UUCCGGUUGAUCCUGCCGGACCUUACUGCUAUCGGGGUGGGACUAAGACAUGCGAGUCGAGCGUUUCUAGCUAUGUUGAGACGCGGCAUACGGCUCAGUAACACGUGGCUAACCUACCCUCAGGACGGGGACAAACCCGGGAAACUGGGGCUAAUAUCCGAUAGGCGAGGAAUCCUGGAAUGGUUCUUCACCCAAAGGACAUUGGAAACAUGCUUUCUCUGUCGCCUGGGGAUGGGGCCGCGACCGAUCAGGUUGUUGGUGAGGUAAUGGCUCACCAAGCCUUUAACCGGUACGGGCCAUGAGAGUGGUAGCCCGGAGAUGGGUACUGAGACAAGGACCCAGGCCCUACGGGGCGCAGCAGUCGCGAAAACUCCGCAAUGCACGAAAGUGUGACGGGGCUACCCCGAGUGCCGUCCGCUGAGGAUGGCUUUUCCUUGGUGUAACUAGCCGGGGGAAUAAGGAGAGGGCAAGACUGGUGUCAGCCGCCGCGGUAAUACCAGCUCUCCGAGUGGUAGGGAUGAUUAUUGGGCUUAAAGCGUCCGUAGCCGGCUUAGCAAGUUUCCUGUUAAAUUCAGCGACCUAAUCGUUGAGCCGCGGGAAAUACUACUAGGCUAGGAGGCGGGAGAGGUCGACGGUACUUCUGGGGUAGGGGUGAAAUCCUAUAAUCCCGGGAGGACCACCAGUGGCGAAGGCUGUCGACUAGAACGCGCUCGACGGUGAGGGACGAAAGCUGGGGGAGCGAACCGGAUUAGAUACCCGGGUAGUCCCAGCUGUAAACGAUGCGGGCUAGGUGUUGGGGUGGCUACGUGCCACUUCAGUGCCGCAGGGAAGCCAUUAAGCCCGCCGCCUGGGGAGUAC